rnacentral:rRNA from 1 species
GGGGAAUAUUGGACAAUGGGGGGAACCCUGAUCCAGCCAUGCCGCGUGUGUGAAGAAGGCCUUUUGGUUGUAAAGCACUUUAAGCGAGGAGGAGGCUACCGAGAUUAAUACUCUUGGAUAGUGGACGUUACUCGCAGAAUAAGCACCGGCUAACUCUGUGCCAGCAGCCGCGGUAAUACAGAGGGUGCAAGCGUUAAUCGGAUUUACUGGGCGUAAAGCGCGCGUAGGUGGCCAAUUAAGUCAAAUGUGAAAUCCCCGAGCUUAACUUGGGAAUUGCAUUCGAUACUGGUUGGCUAGAGUAUGGGAGAGGAUGGUAGAAUUCCAGGUGUAGCGGUGAAAUGCGUAGAGAUCUGGAGGAAUACCGAUGGCGAAGGCAGCCAUCUGGCCUAAUACUGACACUGAGGUGCGAAAGCAUGGGGAGCAAACAGGAUUAGAUACCCUGGUAGUCCAUGCCGUAAACGAUGUCUACUAGCCGUUGGGGCCUUUGAGGCUUUAGUGGCGCAGCUAACGCGAUAAGUAGACCGCCUGGGGAGUACGGUCGCAUGACUA